rnacentral:lncRNA from 1 species
GGCCUUUUGAUGCAGAUUUUCAUUGUAGGUACAAUGCUUGAAGUGUUUCUUACCAGAAAUGAUGUGUUUAAACUAGAAGCAAAAAACAAUAGAAUAAAAAAGCAAUUGCUCUCAGAUCUUUUCUUGGUUGGGUGAAGCAAUUUACAGUGAAACCCAGGAGUGGAGGCCCUCAGCAUAACCUAAAGAGUGAUUUGCUGCAGCCACCUUGUGUCGAAAAUGGAAAUUACAGCUCUCAAAAUAUUUUAGCCAGGCAAGGUCAAACUACUGUUAUUAUUGCUCAUUGGCUCUCCAGCGCUCAGACUGCAGAUGUAACAGUAGGCAUUGUGGAUGGCGCAGUGGUUGAAUGGGAACACACACAGAGCUGAUGGAGAAAAAGGAGACAGAUUAUUCACUUACAGCCUCACAGGAAUCUCUGCCCCAAAUGUCUUGCCUGAAGAUACUGAAAUUAAACAAAUAUGAAUGUUCAUUUAUUGGGCGAGAAGGGUUAGAUUUGAAGCUAAGUCAGGCUGCUCAGUGUCUCGUCCAGACGAUCCCUGAUUAUCUCCAGAGAUCCCGCAGCCUCUCUUGGCAGUUUGUGCCUGUGUUUGUUCACCCCACUGUGAACAGUUUGUUCCUAAUAUCAGGCAGAAUUUUGUUUAAGCAGCUAAUGCCUGUAACCUCUCAUUCUUUUGCUGUGUACCUCUGAGAAGAAACUGGCUCCAUCUUCUCUGUAUCUUCCCAUUAAGUAGCUGAGGACAUCAGUUGCUAUACUCCCUUUCUACAAGCCAAACAAGCCCACUUAGCUCAGUAUCUCAAUAGCUUCUCAUACACUGUGUGCUCCAAGGCUCAGUUUAUCUCUGCAGCCUUCUGCUGGACUCAUGUAGGUAUGUCAAUGUCUUUUUUGUACUUCAAAGCCCAGAAUUAGACACAGUCUUCCUGACAUCAUCGCUGUUUCUGAACAGAGGAGAAUAAUCACUUCCUUCCACCUGCUGUCUGCACUUUUACACUAACAGUCCUCUGUACAGUUGCCUUGCUUCACUGCAAGGGCAUGCUGCUCAUCAUGUCCAUAAUAUCAUCCAACAGGAUCAUCAAAUACUAAUAGAAUAGCACAUAUAAAAUAAGUAAGACUGAUAAGCCAGUAGCCAGAAGCUGAAAACUGGAGCAAGACUGUCCCUCACAGGAUAGGCAGUGCCUUGGUCAAGAAACCAUAUAAACAUUUCCAAAAAUGUAUGUGCAUAAACAGUUUUUCAAUGUGUGGCUGAAAUACAUACCUAUAUGUGUAUCUAGGUGUAUCUUAAAUACAUGUAUUCAGUGUAGAUAAGCAUAGGUUAGACUGUCAGAUUUGUACAGUAGAAAUCCACCUGUCAGAUCUAAGCAAACCUCUAAUGACUGUGUGAUGUAAACAAGGCUGUAUAAAAUUCCUAAAUUGUCUUUUUUUUUUUAAUGGAAAUACUCUAUGUAAACAUAAUCUGUUUUCAAAAUCACUAUCCUAACUUCAUCAUAAUAUCCUACCUUAACAUUCCUAUCAGCAAGAGUGAAUUUAUGCUAUUGAUUAGUCUGUUGGAAUUAAAAAAAAAAAAAAAAAAAAAAUCAACUUAAUCCUAGUAUAGAUUUAAAAUUCAUAAUUUUCAUCAAUACAUGUUGUACAUGGUCUGGAAAAUUCCUUUUCAUUUCCAUUCUAAUUUAUUUUGUGCUUUUUUAAGAUACCAUCUAAAUAUUUAUCUGUGGGAAACAAUUUUGAUAAAAGCACUAUAUAUAAAUGUUUAAUUCAAAUUGCAAGUUUACCCAUUUUUCUAAUGCAGCAAACAGCCAAAUCCUAUUACGUUGAACAAUCUGAUAUCAUGAAUAUUUAUCCUAGCACACUGAUGAUUUGUUAUAGUGAGGUUAGAUUUUGUCUUCAACAGAAAUUUAUUUCCACAGUCACAGUUAGAACUAACAGAACCCAUACUGACACGCUAAUGGUGUUCUUUCAAAACGCACAUUAAAUCUCAAUGACUUGAGGUGUACAGAGUUUACAAGACAAAUGUCUUGGAAAACUUUACACCGAGUUCUCAUUCUCAGUCUGAGAAUACUCAUUCAUAUACUAUUUUCCAUUCUUCUCUAUUUUAUUAUCAAGACUGUGACUAAGAACAGUAUGAAAUUAAACAGAAUGAAACCAUGUCUUUUCCAUUACACUUGUGAUAUUUUGCUAAUCACUUAAAUUUUGCAGGUAAUUCUUAUGUUCAAUAGAAUAACUCUUUGAAGAAAUAGUUUCCAUUCUGCUUAUUUAAGUUGUGAUGGAUUUUGUGUCUGCAGCCAAGGGAUCAUGGCAUGAAAAGUGAAGAAGUGUUUGGCUGUGAAACUGUUUUGAUUCAGUCAUUUUAGUAUUUACCUGUAGUACUUUAUUUUAAUAGAUACUGCAAUAAAUUAUAUACACCAUGUAAAAAUAGCA